rnacentral:RNase_P_RNA from 1 species
GAGGAAAGUCCGGACUUCAGAUAGAAUAUAAGAGUUGAGUAAAACUCAAUAUAGGUGACUAUGAGGAAAGUGCCACAGAAAUAAACCGCUUUUACAAGUAAGGGUGCAAAGGUGUGGUAAGAGCACACCAGAAAUAUUGUCAAGGUAUUUGCUAGGUAAACCCCUAAAUGGAGCAAAAAUAUAAAGCAUGAAUACGAUAAUUCUAUUUUUUAUGCUUUUUGCAGAUAUUGCAUGAAGUUUUUUGAUAAACUGAAGAUAAAUAACUACCCUUUUGAAUAUUUAUUAUAUGUUUUAUAUAUUUAAAAGAACAGAAUCCGGCUUAU